AGAUGUUAAAAGCAAGAGACAUGGGAGAGCAUCAUUCCUUUGAGAUUUUAUAAAUCAAACCAACUUUGGAGUUGUCUGAUUUGGAGAGUCAUCAUUCUUGGUCUUCGCUCUUAGAGUCCUCUGAUGAAGAGCAGGCGGUGAUUGGGAUGAAUGCUGGUCAGAGAGAAGAAUCUUCUUUCCCCUAAACUGAUGCAGCGGUGGUUUUAAAGGUGGAUGCUGGCCUGGAUGAUGUAGAAGAUGUCACAUGCUGUGCUGAUGGGGUUUCUUCAUGAUUACAUCAGUUAUGCUAAAGAGAUCAUGAAAAUUGACCGUGAUGCAUGAUCUGUAUUCAUGGACUAUGAAACAAACUGUAAGUGUAUAAUUUGUUUAAAAAAAAAGUUAAAUGCUUUUUCUGUGUUGUUUAGUAGAAGAGUUUACACUCUGUCAUUCAUACACCUGCUCACAUUCUUUCACACACACACACACACGCGUCUGUUAAAUGUUAUAAUAUCAAAGUUAAUGUUGUGAUUUAUUUGUGUACUGUCAUGCCAGAAGAGUUGGAAAAAAACCUAACUAAUUGUAAAUUUAUUGUAUGUGUUUUCGUAUAUUUUUAUACAAUUGAACAAAGUCCAAUUUGAUCUUAAGUUAUAUUCAUCAAAUGUUCAAUGCUUUGUUUAUGAACUCUGUAGCUGUUAAUGCCAUCCUUUUCUGCAUUUCUUCUAACAUGUUACUUUUUGACUUUUCUCUUGUUUUUAAUAAAUAUUUUCCUUUUGGUAAUUAUUA